AAUUUCAAUUUUAAGCACAUUUUGUGUGGUCAUUAAGUUUUUACAUUUAUUGCUGCGUGAACUAACCCUUUUUGUGUCCUUGGUUACAGAUAGCGAAGAGGUUCUCAUCAAAAAGAUGUUGAGUGGUCAUCGAAGUUUGUGUCUGCCGCUGAACCCAGCCCAAGUUCCAACCAGUCCAACUUACCAGCCAAAAAGCAGAAAACACACCAGCAGCCAAGGAAAACUCAAGUCGAUUCAAGUGUUCAUAAGAAUUGAUUUGGGCUGUGUUUUGAGGAGACCUGGAGCACCCACAUCUAAUCUUGUCUUACCCAUGGCGACGCAGUGCAUCAAGUUUUCAACAGGAAAGUCCAGUGACUAGUGUUGAUCCGUAUGAUGCGUUUCUGGCGGAGCAGAAAAAGCAGGAGGCUGACUGGGAAUCAAAUCAAGCCAACAAGAAGGCAAAAACCAUGCAGACCACAAACAAAGAUUU